rnacentral:lncRNA from 1 species
AUGCCUUGUUUCAAGCAGCCUAAGCACUUCCAGAGUCUGCUACUUCUGCACUGGCCCCUGAGCUACCUUGGCAUAUUUUGGAUCUUGCAGCCAUUGGCCAUUUACCUACUGUUUACAUCCUGGUGGCCACUACCAGCCCUUUACUUUGCCUGGUUUCUCCUGGACUGGAAGACCCCAGAGCAAGGUGGCAGGCGAUCGGCCUGGGUAAGGAACUGGUGUGCCUGGACCCACAUCAGGGACUAUUUUCCCAUUUCCAUCCUGAAGACUAAAGAUCUGUCACCUGAGCACAACUAUCUCAUGGGAGUUCACCCCCACGGCCUCUUGACCUUCGGCGCCUUCUGUAACUUCUGCACUGAGGCCACAGGCUUCUCGAAGAUCUUUCCAGGCAUCACUCCCCAUCUGGCCACGCUGUCCUGGUUCUUCAAGAUCCCCUUUAUUAGGGACUACCUCAUGGCCAAAGGUGUGUGCUCCGUGAGUCAGCCAGCUAUUGAGUACCUGCUGAGCCAUGACACUGGCAACCUUGUGGGCAUUGUAGUUGGAGGAGUGGGAGAGGCCCUGCAGAGUGUGCCCAACACCACCAGGCUCAUCCUCCAGAAGCGCAAGGGCUUUGUGCGCAUGGCACUCCAGCAUGGGGCUCAUCUGGUCCCCACCUACACUUUUGGAGAAACUGAGGUGUAUGAUCAGGUGCUGUUCCAUAAGGACAGCUUUAUGUACAAGUUCCAGAGCUAUUUCCGCCAGAUACUUGGUUUCUAUUUUUGCAUCUUCUAUGGACGAGGCUUCCGCCAAGGCUCCACUGGGCUCCUGCCGUACCCGCUGCCUAUCGUCACUGUGGUGGGGGAGCCUCUGCCUCUGCCCAAAAUCGAAAAACCAAGCCAGGAGAUGGUGGACAAAUACCACGCCCUCUAUAUGAAGGCCCUGACCAAACUGUUUGAUCAGCACAAGACCCAGUACGGCUGCCCAGAGACCCAAAAGCUGCUUUUCCUGUGA